rnacentral:tRNA from 1 species
GGUCUCGUAGCUCAGUUGGAUAGAGCAACAGCCUUCUAAGCUGUGGGUCGUGGGUUCGAAUCCCGCCGAGAUCA